UCGGAUGUGGUGCACGGUGCACGUCGGUGUCAAAUAGAGGGAUGGAACAUUUGUAAUCGCUGAAGUCCGGGGUUCGACUCCCCGCAUCUGAA